rnacentral:misc_RNA from 1 species
ACGAUCUUUAAUAAAACAAGUCAGAAUAAUUAUCAUGAAGCAAGAUAUCAUCCCAAGUGAAUUAACAGCUAUUUCGAGUAAGAAACAGGCGCGACGUUUACUCCAACAUUUCAAAUUAAACGAAAGUAUGUUUUGAAACAUUUACUGUUGAUUUUACAACAACAAAAUUGAAAAAACCUGUCCUGAAGUGAACACAAAUAUCGAGCAGUAGUUAAACGUUGGACUUUGAAAGGUAACGGAGUAACGAUCCUCAAAAUAAUUUAAUUUGCACAAUAGACUUGAACCAAAAUUUAUUUUUGAAACAUAUGACUUGACAAAUAACAAAAUGUGUUUAUUCCUCGAUAUUCAAGGCUUUAAAAAUAUUGAUAAUAUAUUCAUCAUAAAAGAAUUAAGCACAAUGGACGAGUGUACUCUUGAUAUAAAUCACUGGAUAUUUGAGCUUCCGUUCAUCUUCAAUCUGGACGCUAAAUCUAUCAAAAGUAACGAUUGGAUUGCGAAUAACUACCUCCGUUUGGACAUUGAGUGCGGCGACGUACCGUACGACGAAUUGGAAAUUAUUCUAGGUGAAAUAGGUGCAAAUUAUCACACUAUAUACGUUAAAGGGUCAGAGAAGGCUGGCGUUAUUCGUCGCUACUGCAGGAAAAGUAAAAUCGUCGACAUGACGGAUCUCGGCUGUCCAAAGGCCAAAACGCUAACUACUACCAAAGAAAAUUUGUACUGCGAGUAUCAUGAUAAAGGAAAAGGAAAAAUUUGUAGCCGCUACCAGGUCUUUUGUCUGUUCGAAUGGUAUAACAACAUUUUACUCUUAAAAAACUAAAUUGAUUAAAUUAUUGAAAAAUGAAAUUUUUAUUAUAUUAACAUUUUUUAAUAUU